rnacentral:rRNA from 1 species
CCUACGGGAGGCAGCAGUGGGGAAUAUUGGACAAUGGGGGAAACCCUGAUCCAGCGACGCCGCGUGAGUGAAGAAGUAUUUCGGUACGUAAAGCUCUAUCAGCAGGAAAGAAAAUGACGGUACCUGACUAAGAAGCCCCGGCUAACUACGUGCCAGCAGCCGCGGUAAUACGUAGGGGGCAAGCGUUAUCCGGAUUUACUGGGUGUAAAGGGAGCGUAGACGGCAGCGCAAGUCUGGAGUGAAAUGCCGGGGCUCAACCCCGGAACUGCUCUGGAAACUGUGAAGCUGGAGUGCAGGAGAGGUAAGCGGAAUGCCUGGUGUAGCGGUGAAAUGCGUAGAUAGCAGGAGGAACACCGGCGGCGAAGGCAGCUUACUGGACGGUAACUGACGUUGAGGCUCGAAGGCGUGGGGAGCAAACAGGAUUAGAUACCCCUGUAGUC